rnacentral:rRNA from 1 species
UAUAGCCAGGGGCUAUGGAAGGCCGGGUUGCCACUCAAGAUAAAAAUCUUCAUGUGGCAAAUGUUUAGGAACCGGCUACCAACUUCCGACAGUAUAGCUAAACAUAAUGGCCCGUCCGACGGGUCCUGCUCGAUUUGCGGUCUAGGUGAAGACGCAAACCAUGUGUUCUUUAGAUGCCACCUAGCCAAGUUUGCAUGGAGCGUGGUUAGGGAUGCGUUUCACACGAACUGGAACCCCUCCUCGGGUGCGGAUCUGCUCACCUUGAUCAAAACCCAAAAGGGGUCCAGUGCUAGAAUAGCUUGGCGAUGCAUAGGGCCGUUGCUAUGGGCUAUUUGGACGACUCAUAACAAAAUUACGAUAGAGAAGAAAUUCCCUAACCAUCCUGUUGAUGUGAUAUUCAAAUGUCAUCUAUUUUUACAGACGUGGACACCGUUGGGGAAGGAGCGCAACACUAAGCGCAUGAUGGAAGUCUUGGAGCGUAUCAGGAUGACUCAGACGUUGGCCAGGCAAGACUCGAGGCACGAGUAA